UAACAGGAUUCCCCUAGUAACUGCGAGUGAAGCGGGAAGAGCUCAAAUUUAAAAUCUGGCAGUCUCCUGGCUGUCCGAGUUGUAAUCUGGAGAAGCGUUUUCUGUGUUAGACCGUGUACAAGUCUCCUGGAACGGAGCGUCAUAGAGGGUGAGAAUCCCGUCCAUGACACGGACUGCUAAUACUUUGUGAUACGCUCUCGAAGAGUCGAGUUGUUUGGGAAUGCAGCUCAAAAUGGGUGGUAAAUUCCAUCUAAAGCUAAAUACAGGCGAGAGACCGAUAGCGAACAAGUACCGUGAGGGAAAGAUGAAAAGCACUUUGGAAAGAGAGUUAAACAGUACGUGAAAUUGUUGAAAGGGAAACGCUUGAAGUCAGUCGCGUUGUGCAGAACUCAGCCUUGCCUCGGUUUGGUGUACUUUCUGCACAACGGGUCAACAUCAAUUUUGGCCCAUGGAGAAAGGUGGAGGGAAUGUAGCGCUGUUUCGGCAGCGUGUUAUAGCCCUCUACUGUAUACAUGGGCUGGGAUUGAGGAACGCAGCACGCCCUUGUGGCCGGGGGUUCGCCCCACGUACCGUGCUUAGGAUGUUGGCAGAAUGGCUUUAAGCGACCCGUCUUGAAACACGGACCAAGGAGUCUAACAUGCUUGCGAGUGUUCGGGUGGAAAACCCUUGUGCAUAAUGAAAGUGAAAGUUGGGAACCUCCGCAAGGGGGUGCACCGACGCCCGGCCCUGACGUUCUCUGACGGUGCUGCGGUAGAGCAAGUAUGCUGGGACCCGAAAGAUGGUGAACUAUG
rnacentral:rRNA from 1 species